UGAGGAAUAUUGGUCAAUGGGCGCAAGCCUGAACCAGCCAUCCCGCGUGCAGGAAGACGGCCCUAUGGGUUGUAAACUGCUUUUCCAGGGGGAGAAUUUUUCUGUCGUGACAGGAAUUGACGGUACCCUGGGAAUAAGCAUCGGCUAACUCCGUGCCAGCAGCCGCGGUAAUACGGAGGAUGCGAGCGUUAUCCGGAUUUAUUGGGUUUAAAGGGUGCGUAGGCGGAUAGAUAAGUCAGUGGUGAAAACCUGCAGCUUAACUGUAGACUUGCCAUUGAUACUGUCAGUCUUGAGUAUGGUCAAGGUAGGCGGAAUGUGUAAUGUAGCGGUGAAAUGCUUAGAUAUUACACAGAACACCGAUUGCGAAGGCAGCUUACUGGGCCAUUACUGACGCUGAUGC
rnacentral:rRNA from 1 species